UGGGGAAUUUUGGACAAUGGGCGAAAGCCUGAUCCAGCAAUGCCGCGUGUGUGAAGAAGGCCUUCGGGUUGUAAAGCACUUUUGUCCGGAAAGAAAUCCUUGGCUCUAAUACAGUCGGGGGAUGACGGUACCGGAAGAAUAAGCACCGGCUAACUACGUGCCAGCAGCCGCGGUAAUACGUAGGGUGCAAGCGUUAAUCGGAAUUACUGGGCGUAAAGCGUGCGCAGGCGGUUUGCUAAGACCGAUGUGAAAUCCCCGGGCUCAACCUGGGAACUGCAUUGGUGACUGGCAGGCUAGAGUAUGGCAGAGGGGGGUUAGAAUUCCACGUGUAGCAGUGAAAUGCGUAGAGAUGUGGAGGAAUACCGAUGGCGAAGGCAGCCCCCUGGGCCAAUACUGACGCUCAUGCACGAAAGCGUGGGGAGCAAACAGGAUUNGAUACCCUGGUAGUCCACGCCCUAAACGAUGUCAACUAGUUGUUGGGGAUUC
rnacentral:rRNA from 1 species